rnacentral:rRNA from 1 species
UACGUAGGGUGCGAGCGUUAAUCGGAAUUACUGGGCGUAAAGCGUGCGUAGGCGGUUCGUUGUGUCUGUGGUGAAAGCCCCGGGCUUAACCUGGGAAUGGCCAUGGAAACUGGCGAGCUGGAGUGUGGCAGAGGGGGGUGGAAUUCCGCGUGUAGCAGUGAAAUGCGUAGAGAUGUGGAGGAACACCGAUGGCGAAGGCAGCCUCCUGGGCCAGCACUGACGCUCAUGCACGAAAGCGUGGGGAGCAAACAGG